GAGCGCUGGAGUUGGUGCUGGGAAACCCGGGGCUAAUGUUGACAACAGGCUCGAAUUGUCCUGGGUCACAUAAUGCCAGCUGAGCGUAAAAAGCCAGCAAGUAUGGAAGAAAAAGACUCUUUACCAAACAACAAGGAAAAAGACUGCAGUGAAAGGCGGACAGUGAGCAGCAAGGAGAGGCCAAAAGACGAUAUCAAGCUCACUGCCAAGAAGGAGGUCAGCAAGGCCCCUGAAGACAAGAAGAAGAGACUGGAAGAUGAUAAGAGAAAAAAGGAAGACAAGGAACGCAAGAAAAAAGACGAAGAAAAGGUGAAGGCAGAGGAAGAAUCAAAGAAAAAAGAAGAGGAAGAAAAAAAGAAACAUCAAGAGGAAGAGAGAAAGAAGCAAGAAGAGCAGGC
rnacentral:lncRNA from 1 species